rnacentral:rRNA from 1 species
CUAAACUGUCUCUUUUUUUACCCCCAAAAUUUACUCUCACGUGAAGAGGCGUGAAUAAAAUCGUUAGACGAGAAGACCCUGUCGAGCUUAAAGCAAAAAGCAAGGCUAAUUUCAGGAGUUUUAAACUACUAACUUACAAAUUUACAGCAAUAAAACUUUUAAGUUCUUGCAAAAGUUUUGGUUGGGGCAACCGCGGAAAAAGAAAAUCUUCCACUAAAAAGUUAAUUAAAACAAGGAAAACUAUCCUAUUAUCAAAAAUGAAUGAGCGAUCCACUUAGGUGAUCAAAGGAACAAGUUACCGCAGGGAUAACAGCGUUAUCUUUUUUGAGAGUUCACAUUGACAAAAAGGUUUGCGACCUCGAUGUUGGAUCGGGACAUCCUAAGGGUGCAGAAGCUCUUAAGGGUUGGUCUGUUCGACCAUUAAAGUCCUACGUGAUCUGAGUU